rnacentral:lncRNA from 1 species
AAGAAUGUGAAAAAUUGAUGCUUCUCAAAACACUCUAAAAAGAGUGCUACUUUUGUCAAUUAAGGCUUCAGCUUAUUUGGAAAAACUCUACCUAGUUGGCACUCGACUAUUGGAUACAUGAUACUCACUUGGAUUGUGCUAGUUGAGAUCGGUUUUGGACCAUUGGAUCAAACCAACGGUUGAGAUCAUGUCUUGGGACGUGACCUUCCAACUUAACCCAAAAGUCUCGUGACUUUUGGUUAAUCCUAGAUUUUUCUCUCUCUCUUCUCUUGCAUCUCUCUCUAGUUCUUCGAGUUCUUC